ACAACUCUUAGCGGUGGAUCACUGGGCUCGUGCGU
rnacentral:rRNA from 1 species